rnacentral:lncRNA from 1 species
CCCGCCCUCCAAAAAAAAAGUUGUUUAAAUUCAUUUGCCAGUGUCUCCUCUCCUAAAGGAUAAAGAAGGCAAUGGAUGCAAACUAACACGAUAUAAGAUUGACACCAGAAACCAGCAUCUGUAGUCAAAUUGUGCUGCCAUAGAAAAAUGGAAGACAAGGUAUGAGGGUGAGGAGCCCAGCAACACAGCAGCUUUCUAAAUGGUGACUGUGGAGAGAUGCCAAGGAUGUAGAAUGGUGCCAAGUGUAGAAUCCUGGAGUUGCUCCCUAAACCAGCAGAAACUCAUGUGCAAAGUGUAUUUCACGGAGGCCGAGUAUCUCACCUACAAAGAUAGAACGCAUGUGCAGAUAAUAUUGGGGAGCAGGGAACAAAACGUUUCCUGAGACAGCAAGAAAACGUCUCUGAGGA